GACAGAGGGGGCAAGCGUUGCUCGGAAUCACUGGGCGUAAAGGGCGCGUAGGCGGGAUGGCAAGUCGGUCGUGAAAUCCUUCGGCCCAACCGAAGAACGUCGGCCGAUACUGCCGUUCUUGAGAGAUGCAGAGGAGACUGGAAUUCCCGGUGUAGCGGUGAAAUGUGUAGAGAUCGGGAGGAACACCGGUGGCGAAGGCGGGUCUCUGGGCAUUUCCUGACGCUGAGGCGCGAAAGCGUGGGGAGCAAACGGG
rnacentral:rRNA from 1 species